GCCUCUUUAUUGUCUCACUAUCCAUGCAAGUCGAGCGGUAGCACAGGAGAGCUUGCUCUCGGGUGACGAGUGGCGGACGGGUGAGUAAUGUCUGGGAAACUGCCUGAUGGAGGGGGAUAACUACUGGAAACGGUAGCUAAUACCGCAUAACGUCGCAAGACCAAAGAGGGGGACCUUCGGGCCUCUUGCCAUCAGAUGUGCCCAGAUGGGAUUAGCUAGUAGGUGGGGUAACGGCUCACCUAGGCGACGAUCCCUAGCUGGUCUGAGAGGAUGACCAGCCACUCUGGAACUGAGACACGGUCCAGACUCCUACGGGAGGCAGCAGUGGGGAAUAUUGCACAAUGGGCGCAUGCCUGAUGCACCCAUGCCGCGUGUAUUAAUAAAGCCUUCGGGUUGUAAAGUACUUUCACUCUGGAGGAAGGUGAUGAGGUUUGUAACCUUGUCGAUUGACCCUACCCGCUGAACAUACCCGACUAACUCCGUGCCAUCCGUCCCGGCAACACCGAGAGUGCAAGCGUGGAACGGAAUUACUGGAUUUAUUGCGCGCGCAGGCGUUCUGGCAAGUUGCAUGUGACACACCCGAGAUCACCCUGGU
rnacentral:rRNA from 1 species